rnacentral:rRNA from 1 species
AGUGAACGCUGGCGGUAGGCCUAACACAUGCAAGUCGAACGGCAGCACAGUAAGAGCUUGCUCUUACGGGUGGCGAGUGGCGGACGGGUGAGGAAUACAUCGGACUCUACUUUUUCGUGGGGGAUAACGUAGGGAAACUUACGCUAAUACCGCAUACGACCUACGGGUGAAAGCAGGGGAUCUUCGGACCUUGCGCGAUUGAAUGAGCCGAUGUCGGAUUAGCUAGUUGGCGGGGUAAAGGCCCCCCAAGGCGACGAUCCGUAGCUGGUCUGAGAGGAUGAUCAGCCACACUGGAACUGGGACACGGUCCAGACUCCUACGGGAGGCAGCAGUGGGGAAUAUUGGACAAUGGGCGCAAGCCUGAUCCAGCCAUACCGCGUGGGUGAAGAAGGCCUUCGGGUUGUAAAGACCUUUUGUUGGGAAAGAAAAGCAGCAGGUUAAUACCCCGCUGUUCUGACGGUACCCAAAGAAUAAGCACCGGCUAACUUCGUG